rnacentral:rRNA from 1 species
UACGUAGGGCGCAAGCGUUGUCCGGAAUUAUUGGGCGUAAAGAGCUCGUAGGCGGUUUGUCGCGUCUGCUGUGAAAACCUAAGGCUCAACCUUGGGCUUGCAGUGGGUACGGGCAGACUAGAGUGUGGUAGGGGAGACUGGAAUCCCUGGUGUAGCGGUGAAAUGCGCAGAUAUCAGGAGGAACGCCGAUGGCGAAGGCAGGUCUCUGGGCCACUACUGACGCUGAGAAGCGAAAGCAUGGGGAGCGAACAGG